rnacentral:rRNA from 1 species
UUUAAUUGAAGAGUUUGAUCAUGGCUCAGAUUGAACGCUGGCGGCAGGCCUAACACAUGCAAGUCGAGCGGCAGCGCAAGGGAGUU